UCCUUUCUGCAAUGUUGCUUAUCCAUUUUACUUCACUGUUCCAAUCACAGAUGGUUCUCUGGUAUCCCAUCCAUAUGAGUAAUCUAUUCCAUACUUCCCUUGAUGUCGGGCAGGUAAAAAACAGAUGGUCAAAAGAUUCGUCUGCUUGCUUGCAGAAUACACAUUGUUGCGGAAUCUGUAUUCCAAGAUGCACUAGACGCUCCACUGUUGUCAGUCUU
rnacentral:lncRNA from 1 species